UGGCUUUUGCCUCCAUGUUUAGUCAGGAUGUUGGUUGAUUCCAUCUAUUCGUUACACACAUGGGAUAUAAAGGUUUCUUGAGAGUUGAGAGCACUCUUGUGCUUCUCAUAGUUUUGAAACCACAUUUUCGUCUAAUGUCUUU